UUUCGACCUCAAAUCAGGUAGGACUACCCGCUGAACUUAAGCAUAUCAAUAAGCGGAGGAAAAGAAACUAACAAGGAUUCCCCUAGUAACUGCGAGUGAAGCGGGAAAAGCUCAAAUUUAAAAUCUGGCGUGCCUCUGGUCGUCCGAGUUGUAGUCUGGAGAAGCGUCUUCCGCGCUGGACCGUGUACAAGUCCCUUGGAACAGGGCGUCAUAGAGGGUGAGAAUCCCGUCUUUGACACGGACUACCAGUGCUCUGUGAUGCGCUCUCAAAGAGUCGAGUUGUUUGGGAAUGCAGCUCAAAAUGGGUGGUAAAUUCCAUCUAAAGCUAAAUAUUGGCGAGAGACCGAUAGCGAACAAGUACCGUGAGGGAAAGAUGAAAAGCACUUUGGAAAGAGAGUUAAACAGUACGUGAAAUUGCUGAAAGGGAAACGUUUGAAGUCAGUCGCGUCUGCCGGGACUCAGCCUUGCUUCUGCUUGGUGCACUUUCCGGUUGACBGGCCAGCAUCGAUUUUGACUGCCGGAAAAAGGCAGGGGGAAUGUGGCACCUUCGGGUGUGUUAUAGCCCCCUGUUGUAUACGGCGGUUGGGAUCGAGGACCGCAGCACGCCUUUAUGGCCGGGGUUCGCCCACGUACGUGCUUAGGAUGCUGGCAUAAUGGCUUUAAGCGACCNNUCUUGAAACACGGACCAAGGAGUCUAACAUGCCUGCGAGUGUUUGGGUGGAAAACCCGAGCGCGUAAUGAAAGUGAUAGUUGAGACCUUUGUCAUGAAGGGCAUCGACGCCCGGACUUGAUCUACGGAGACGGUUCCGCGGUAGAGCAUGUAUGUUGGGACCCGAAAGAUGGUGAACUAUGCCUGAAUAGGGUGAAGCCAGAGGAAACUCUGGUGGAGGCUCGUAGCGAUUCUGACGUGCAAAUCGAUCGUCAAAUUUGGGUAUAGGGGCGAAAGACUAAUCGAACCAUCUAGUAGCU
rnacentral:rRNA from 1 species